ACAAGUACCGUGAGGGAAAGUUGCAAAGCACUUUGAAGAGAGAGUUAAAGAGGACGUGAAACCGGUAAGGUGGAAACGGAUAGAGUCGGCGUAUCAUUCAAGUAUUCAGUUACAUUAUUUUUAUGUUGUGACCUCUGAGCUCCAGAUUGGGACAGAGGGAAUCAGCAUAAUUUUUUGUGGUGCAUUUACUUGAUUGGUGCUUGGGGAUGUUUGAGGCAGAUUUGUUUCCGUCGUUUUGAGGCCAGCUUGCUGGUACCCAAACGGUGUUAGCAUUUUUUGUCUUGGRCAUUUGAGUAUGGCUCACGUGUAUUUAUUGGACAGAUCUGAGUGUAAGUUACGGUCGCAUGCGACACGUGCUUUUCAAUUAGUUCGGUCCAGUUAAUGCUCUCGUACUCGUUCCCCAUGUAAAAGCCGGUCAUCUAUCCGACCCGUCUUGAAACACGGACCAAGGAGUUUAUCGUGUGCGCAAGUUUUUGGGUGUUAAAAACUUAAAAGCGAAAUGAAAGUAAAUGACUCUUUAGAGUCUGAUGUGCGAUCUUGUAAAAAAGUGUAGCAUGGCCCCAUUCUAACUGUUUACAGUAGGGUGGCGGAAGAGCGUACGCGGUGAGACCCGAAAGAUGGUGAACUAUUCCUGAGCAGGACGAAGCCAGAGGAAACUCUGGUGGAAGUCCGAAGCGGUUCUGACGUGCAAAUCGAUCGUCUGACUUGGGUAUAGGGGCGAAAGACUAAUCGAACCAUCUAGUAGCUGGUUCCUUCCGA
rnacentral:rRNA from 1 species